UAAUUUUGAGUACUUUGUUUUUGGUUAUUUUGUUUGUGUUCAGAUUUUGGUGAGAUAGUGUUAUUUACAAGUUACAACGGUUGUUUCUUUAAUUAAAUAAUUUAUUAUAAGUAUUCACUAGUAGGUAAUUAAAAUACACAAAUAAUAAUAAUAUAAUGAAGCGUCGUACGUUAAAUAUGGUUCAAAUGGCUGAAAAAAAUGAAACAAUCUCCCAUUCUAAUAACAAUAUCACCAAUAAUCAAAAUGAAGAAUAUAAUUCUAGCAAUAGUAAAGUUCAACUUUGGAUUUCUAGUCAUCAAGAACAUUUGUUAGGGGGCCUAGCUCUGAUGAAGCUAUGGAACACUGCAAUAGAAACUCGCUAAUAGAAAAACAAAAGAAACAUUCCGCACUUCAAAUUGCACAUCCAAGAGACUGGGCUACACUAUAAGUGUAUUAUAAAGCUGUACAAACAAAAAGAAACCUUUUCUUGUGUAUGAAAUGGAUCAGAAACAUUUUUUUAAUUUUGAAAAAUUAUUGAAAGGACCUCUAGUAGUACGCAAAAAAGAUGAAAAUGGAAAUAAAUUUGUUUGGCAUGAUGUUGCCUGGUUGCAAUAUAGAAGUAGUAACAUUGGUACAUUAUACUACAAAACAAGUUUAUCUGAAGAUGAACCGUUUAAAAUAGUAAAUCUAAAAAGAAGAGGCCGUGUAAAUAAUUUUACAUUGCAAAAAAUGUAUAAUUCACCAGUUCCAAUAUCUAAAGAAAAAAAAAGAGAUCUACUCCAACUUCUCCCGUUAAUACCAAAUAUUUACCAUGAUUUUUAUAAAUAAUUUGAAUAGUGAUUCUACUGAGAAACAAGAUUAUGAUCCAGAUCUUGAUG